GAUGAAGAACGUAGCGAAAUGCGAUAAGUAAUGUGAAUUGCAGAAUUCAGUGAAUCAUGGAAUCUUUGAACGCACAUUGCGCCCGCCAGUAUUCUGGCGGGCAUGCCUGUUCGAGCGUCAUUUCAACCCUCAGGCCCCCAGUGCCUGGUGUUGGGGAUCGGCCCAGCCUUCCUGUAAGGCCGCCGGCCCCGAAAUCUAGUGGCGGUCUCGCUGUAGUCCUCCUCUGCGUAGUAGCACAACCUCGCAGUUGGAACGCGGCGGUGGCCAUGCCGUUAAACACCCCACUUCUGAAAGUUGACCUCGGAUCAGGUAGGAAUACCCGCUGAACUUAAGCAUAUCAAUAAGCGGAGGA
rnacentral:misc_RNA from 1 species